rnacentral:rRNA from 1 species
AUUGAACGCUGGCGGCGUGCCUAACACAUGCAAGUCGAGCGGAGCGGCGGACGGGUGGGUAAUGCCUAGUAAUCUACCUGGUAGUGGGCGAUCACGUCCGGAGGCGGGCGCUCAUUCCGCAUAAUCUCAGAUGAGCCUAGGGUGGAUUUGCUAGUUGGUGGGGUAAAGGCCUACCAAGGCGACGAUCCGUAACCGGUCGGAGAGGAGGAUCAGUCACACUGGAACUGAGACACGGUCCAGACUCCGACGGGAGGCAGCAGUGGGGAAGAUUGGACAAUGGGCGAAAGCCUGAUCCAGCCAUGCCGCGUGUGUGAAGAAGGUCUUCGGAUUGUAAAGCACUUUAAGUUGGGAGGCGGUACCAACAGAAUAAGCACCGGCUAACUACGUGCCAGCAGCCGCGGUAAUAC